rnacentral:tRNA from 1 species
GCGCCAUUGGUAUAGUGGUAGAAUAAAACCUUCCCAAGGUUUAGACGCGAGUUCGAUUCUCGCAUGGCGCA